UGGAUGGAGAAGAAAGGUGGACAGCCUG
rnacentral:piRNA from 1 species